AUGGAGGUUGUCAUGUCUGCAGUUGCAGGUGAACUUGUGAGCCGUUUCAUCUCCUUCCUGCUGAACAAGUACCAUUCGAGUCGGUCACACUCGGAGGAGAAGGUGAUGGAGCGGUUGCAACAUCUCCUAAUGAGAGUUUGCACCAUUGUUGAGGAGGCCGACGUGCGAUACAUAACCAACUCCGGGAUGAUGAUGCAGCUCAAGACACUAUCAGAGGCCAUGUACCAAGGAUACCAUGCGCUGGACAACUUAAGGUACCGUGCCCUCCAAGUCACUGCAGGCUUCGAAGAGGUUAGCAUCAAUGACUCAUCUGGCAGCAGCCUAUAUUUAGCCAAGCGUUCUCGAAGUACAAAUGAUAAGGUCACGCGCCUCGAGUCACAUGGUGCCUUGGAAAGCUUAGAAAUUGCUAUUGCUAAUAUGUCAGAAUUUAUUGUUCUUCUCGGUGGAUGUGAGCGCAUGUCCCGUAGGCCAUAUGAUGUUUAUCUUUACACUGAAAAUUUCAUGUUCGGCCGACACAUUGAGAAGCAAAAGCUCUGGAGCUUCUUGUUGCAGCACAACAACUCUCCUGGCGAUGAUGCACCGGCAGUUCUUCCGAUCAUAGGUGGUGCAGCAAUUAAGAAGAAAACUUUGGUUGCUCAUGCGUGGGUGACGAAAGGGUUCGCUCACGCUUCUCCUCUAUUUUGCACUUGA
rnacentral:rRNA from 1 species